rnacentral:rRNA from 1 species
ACUCCUACGGGAGGCAGCAGUGGGGAAUAUUGCACAAUGGGCGCAAGCCUGAUGCAGCAACGCCGCGUGAGCGAAGACGGCCUUCGGGUUGUAAAGCUCUGUCAGGGGGGACGAUAAUGACGGUACCCCCAGAGGAAGCCCCGGCUAACUACGUGCCAGCAGCCGCGGUAAUACGUAGGGGGCGAGCGUUGUCCGGAAUUACUGGGCGUAAAGGGCGUGUAGGCGGUCCUACAAGUCAGCUGUGAAACCCCCGGGCUCAACCCGGGGCGUGCAGUUGAAACUGUAGGACUUGAGUGCAGGAGAGGAGAGUGGAAUUCCUAGUGUAGCGGUGACAUGCGUAGAUAUUAGGAGGAACACCAGUGGCGAAGGCGGCUCUCUGGACUGUAACUGACGCUGAGGCGCGAAAGCGUGGGGAGCAAACAGGAUUAGAAACCCCAGUAGUCC